rnacentral:rRNA from 1 species
GGUUAAGCGACUAAGCGUACACGGUGGAUGCCCUGGCAGUCAGAGGCGAUGAAGGACGUGCUAAUCUGCGAAAAGCGCCGGCGAGGUGAUAUGAACCUUUGACCCGGCGAUGUCCGAAUGGGGAAACCCAGUGUGAUUCGUCACACUAUCGUUAACUGAAUACAUAGGUUAACGAGGCGAACCGGGGGAACUGAAACAUCUAAGUACCCCGAGGAAAAGAAAUCAACCGAGAUUCCCCCAGUAGCGGCGAGCGAACGGGGAGCAGCCCAGAGUCUGAAUCAGCUUGUGUGUUAGUGGAAGCGUCUGGAAAGUCGCACGGUACAGGGUGACAGUCCCGUACACGAAAGCACACAGGUUGUGAACUCGAAGAGUAGGGCGGGACACGUGGUAUCCUGUCUGAAUAUGGGGGGACCAUCCUCCAAGGCUAAAUACUCCUGACUGACCGAUAGUGAACCAGUACCGUGAGGGAAAGGCGAAAAGAACCCCGGCGAGGGGAGUGAAACAGAACCUGAAACCGUGUACGUACAAGCAGUGGGAGCACCUUCGUGGUGUGACUGCGUACCUUUUGUAUAAUGGGUCAGCGACUUAUAUUCUGUAGCAAGGUUAACCGUAUAGGGGAGCCGAAGGGAAACCGAGUCUUAACUGGGCGUUAAGUUGCAGGGUAUAGACCCGAAACCCGGUGAUCUAGCCAUGGGCAGGUUGAAGGUUGGGUAACACUAACUGGAGGACCGAACCGACUAAUGUUGAAAAAUUAGCGGAUGACUUGUGGCUGGGGGUGAAAGGCCAAUCAAACCGGGAGAUAGCUGGUUCUCCCCGAAAGCUAUUUAGGUAGCGCCUCGUGAACUCAUCUUCGGGGGUAGAGCACUGUUUCGGCUAGGGGGCCAUCCCGGCUUACCAACCCGAUGCAAACUACGAAUACCGAAGAAUGUUAUCACGGGAGACACACGGCGGGUGCUAACGUCCGUCGUGAAGAGGGAAACAACCCAGACCGCCAGCUAAGGUCCCAAAGUCAUGGUUAAGUGGGAAACGAUGUGGGAAGGCACAGACAGCCAGGAUGUUGGCUUAGAAGCAGCCAUCAUUUAAAGAAAGCGUAAUAGCUCACUGGUCGAGUCGGCCUGCGCGGAAGAUGUAACGGGGCUAAACCAUGCACCGAAGCUGCGGCAGCGAC